rnacentral:tRNA from 1 species
UUAAUUGAAACCAAAAAGAGGUAAAUUAUUGUUAAUAAUUUCAUUGAAUUAUUUUAUAUUCCAAUUAA